GACGAACGCUGGCGGCGUGCCUAACACAUGCAAGUCGAGCGAAUGAAGUUCCUUCGGGAACGGAUUUAGCGGCGGACGGGUGAGAAACACGUGGGCAACCUGCCUCAUAGAGGGGAAUAGCCUUUCGAAAGGAAGAUUAAUACCGCAUAAGAUUGUAGCUUCGCAUGAAGUAGCAAUUAAAGGAGCAAUCCGCUAUGAGAUGGGCCCGCGGCGCAUUAGCUAGUUGGUGAGGUAACGGCUCACCAAGGCAACGAUGCGUAGCCGACCUGAGAGGGUGAUCGGCCACAUUGGGACUGAGACACGGCCCAGACUCCUACGGGAGGCAGCAGUGGGGAAUAUUGCACAAUGGGGGAAACCCUGAUGCAGCAACGCCGCGUGAGUGAUGACGGCCUUCGGGUUGUAAAGCUCUGUCUUCAGGGACGAUAAUGACGGUACCUGAGGAGGAAGCCACGGCUAACUACGUGCCAGCCGCCGCCGUAA
rnacentral:rRNA from 1 species